rnacentral:rRNA from 1 species
AGUGAACGCUGGCGGUAGGCCUAACACAUGCAAGUCGAACGGCAGCACAGGAGAGCUUGCUCUCUGGGUGGCGAGUGGCGGACGGGUGAGGAAUACAUCGGAAUCUACUCUGUCGUGGGGGAUAACGUAGGGAAACUUACGCUAAUACCGCAUACGACCUACGGGUGAAAGCAGGGGACCUUCGGGCCUUGCGCGAUUGAAUGAGCCGAUGUCGGAUUAGCUAGUUGGCGGGGUAAAGGCCCACCAAGGCGACGAUCCGUAGCUGGUCUGCGAGGAUGAGCAGCCACACUGGAACUAGGACACGGUCCAGACUCCUACGGGAGGAAGCAGGAGGGAAUAUUGGAAAAUGGGCGCAAGCCUGAUCCAGCCAUACCGGGUGGGUGAAGAAGGCCUUCGGGUUGUAAAGCCCUUUUGUUGGGAAAGAAAUCCAGCUGGCUAAUACCCGGUUGGGAUGACGGUACCCAAAGAAUAAGCACCGGCUAACUUCGUGCCAGCCGCCGCCGUAA